UUCAUGCAGAAUGUGAUUUAAGAUUGGAAACCUGCGUACUGUGAGAAAUGCUUGGAGGUUGGACACAACUGUUUGACUAAACCUGCUCAACCUACACAGAAUAACAAGGUGACACAGGAAUGGAGAGUGAAAGCACCAGUCACAGUGGACCAAAAUAACCAGAUGGCUCAAAUCCAGCAACCAGAGUUACCAAAGGAGGCAAGUACUCUAGCUACAGCUGAAGGUGUGAACAAACAGAAGCAGGUUGUUAUACAAGAUUCCCUAGUCUUUAACAUCACUAAUUUCCCUCCCUUAUCUCCUAUUGUGAUGUCU
rnacentral:lncRNA from 1 species